rnacentral:rRNA from 1 species
CCUACGGGAGGCAGCAGUGAGGAAUAUUGGACAAUGGACGAGAGUCUGAACCAGCCAAGUAGCGUGAAGGAUGACUGCCCUAUGGGUUGUAAACUUCUUUUAUAAAGGAAUAAAACGAGGCACGUGUGCCUUUUUGCAUGUACUUUAUGAAUAAGGAUCGGCUAACUACGUGCCAGCAGCCGCGGUAAUACGGAGGAUACGAGCGUUAUCCGGAUUUAUGGGGUUUAAAGGGAGCGUAGAUGGGUUGUUAAGUCAGUUGUGAAAGUUUGCGGCUCAACCGUAAAAUUGCAAUUGAUACUGGCAGUCUUGAGUACAGUUGAGGUAGGCGGAAUGCGUGGUGUAGCGGUGAAAUGCUUAGAUAUCACGAAGAACCCCGAUUGCGAAGGCAGCUUACUAAACUGUGACUGACAUUGAUGCUCGAAAGUGUGGGUAUCAAACAGGAUUAGAUACCCUUGUAGUC